rnacentral:rRNA from 1 species
GUAGAUGAUCAGGUAGAUAGGAUGGAAGUGGAAGUACGGUGACGUAUGGAGCGGACCAUUACUAAUCGGUCGAGGACUUAACCAAG